CACAGGCUGCCCACCCACGACUCAACUCACCCUGACUGCGUGUUCCCGUCUGACCUCGCCCGAGCACUUUCUUGACCUCGCCGGGAGCAGCCAGCUGGAUCCCGCCGCCGUGCCUCCCUCUCUCCCUUCUCUUCUUUUCCCCAACCUCUCUAUCUCCUCUGAACUGCAUGUCGCUCCUCUCUGCAGGUGCCGCCAUGGCCGCGUCUUGGAGCUCGUCGCCGUGAGCUGCGUGCCCCUACGAUGACGGCCUUCCUCGCCCACGUCCAGGACCUCUCAAUCCUAAUUUGAUACGCCACGAGUGGGAGCGGAAGCUGCGAUGUCAAGAUCUGCUUGCAUUGCCAUGAAUUUCCUCAUCACAUUAGGAUUCAUCGACGCCGCCAGCAAGUUCUGUAUCAAUUCCGGCACCCAACGUACUGUAUGCCCACACGUUUAAAUCAUGUCGGUCUUACUCCUGCAAUACUCCAAGAAUAGUACUUGAGAUUUAGGCAAUAGUGGGAAUGGUAAUUAAUUUUUAUUUAGUUGGUUCAGUUACUAUCAUUGGAAGUGCCAGGAAGAUCUCACCGUCAAGAGCAGCGCUGCAGGGUCAUUCACUUGGUUGGCCUCUGAUGUAACUGGUGUUGUUGUGUCCAUGUGGAAGGAGAGCCCGCUUCUCCGGGACGCCGGCACUGACAUGCUCACCGUAGGCGCCGUCAUGGCGGUGCUCGACUUCAGGGAGGAGGUCGGCAAUCACCACUUCUUGGACCAAAGUUUGCAGAAGCUAUGGAAGAAAUGGUAACUUGCUUACUUGGGAAAACUGCAUUGGAUAACGAUGCUGAUGAUAGCGAUCCUUCAUGAAAAUAACUGUUGAUGCGACUUUUUCUAUACAAGCGGUGAUGCUAAGGCUCAGUUUGAACUACAAAAUUUCGUGGAUAACUAUCGUAAAAAUGUCAUAAAUACAAUCACAAACCCAUCAGUUCUAUGAUAUGGAUGCCGUGGUGAUUGCUGGAAGGGAGGGUUCCUGGGAUGAUGAGAAGACACAGUAUUUUUGUUGAUGCAGGUCAUUAAGUAAUUCACGAAGUUGGGAUGGGGGGAGACCAUUAUGGGGAGUAUUAGAUUAGCAGAAAAUGCAGAGUUCGUGAUUUAGUUUUUAGAUUGGAAUGUGCUCUGCAUUACUAAAAGAGAGUUUUUUUUUCUGAAGAUGAAUCUAAAUGGUGUGACGGUCUGAGUACUCAUGGGCGUGACGAGGUGACUGCGGAGCCACCAGAACAUGCGAGUGGCAAUGCUUCAGGACAAGUAGGUCAGAUUAUUGUCCAAAUAAUUUUUUGUACGAUUGAAAGGACAAGCAUUUCUCCGCGGCCCCGGCAAGAGCCUUGCCGGGGCAACUUGCCCGAUGCCAGCAGAGCAGGCCACCCUAGAGCCCGUGGGUUCCAACACCAGCCAACCAACUACAUUGGAACCAGGGCUCGGGAGGCGCCUCUUUGGUGGCAUACAGAUCUUCGUCAAGAUCAUGAACACACAAGAUCAGAUGAGGACCACAAGACGGCGACCCUCAGCGGGAUCCUAGCCGAGGAGAUCCACAAGACCCCCGGCAAGCGCCUUGCCAGAACGACUGCCACGCCACGGCAAGACCCUUGUCGAGCCCCCGGCAAGACCCUUGCCGAGGGCAUCAGCAGGGCCAUUGCCAGGCCCGCACCAGUCAAGACUCCACCGCCGUUCCCCAAGCAGCAGCUAGCUCAACCAGCGGGGCAGGCACCUGCGUGGCGACGAGUGGCCUCUACACCAACUCAGCAAGCACCUGCGUGGUGGCAUGCAGAUCUUUGUGAAUGCCCUGCCACCGCGCCACCUAAGCUGCCUGCCUGCCUACAUGGCACCGCAUGCAUCGCUGGCCUGGGCGCGUGUCGAAGCAGGGCGGAGCGGCGACGGAAG